GACAACGUGGCCGAGUGGUUAAGGCGACAGCCUGCUAUUGGUUCAAGGGAAUUGAGAGCUGUUUUCUUCGGAAGCGCAGGUUCGAAUCCUGCCGUUGUCG
rfam:Lasallia pustulata genome assembly, contig: scaffold311_size102154